rnacentral:rRNA from 1 species
GAUGAACGCUGGCGGCGUGCCUAAUACAUGCAAGUCGAGCGAACAGACGAGGAGCUUGCUCCUCUGACGUUAGCGGCGGACGGGUGAGUAACACGUGGAUAACCUACCUAUAAGACUGGGAUAACUUCGGGAAACCGGAGCUAAUACCGGAUAAUAUAUUGAACCGCAUGGUUCAAUAGUGAAAGACGGUUUUGCUGUCACUUAUAGCUGGAUCCGCGCCGCAUUAGCUAGUUGGUAAGGUAACGGCUUACCAAGGCAACGAUGCGUAGCCGACCUGAGAGGGUGAUCGGCCACACUGGAACUGAGACACGGUCCAGAGUACUACGGGAGGCAGCAGUAGGGAAUCUUCCGCAAUGGGCGAAAGCAUGACGGAGCAACGCCGCGUGAGUGAUGAAGGUCUUCGGAUCGUAAAACUCUGUUAUUAGGGAAGAACAAAUGUGUAAGUAAAUAUGCACGUCUUGACGGUAACUAAUAAGAAAGCAACGGCUAACUACGUG